GGGUGGAAUGAGAUCAGGAAGUAUGUAAGGUGGGCAGGAAGGUGUGCGUGAAGGGUGGAAUGAGAUCAGGAAGUAUGUAAGGUGGGCAGGAAGGUGUGCGUGAAGGGUGGAAUGAGAUCAGGAAGUAUGUAAGGUGGGCAGGAAGGUGUGCGUGAAGGGUGGAAUGAGAUCAGGAAGUAUGUAAGGUGGCCAAGAAGGUGUGCGUGAAGGGUGGAAUGAGAUCAGGAAGUAUGUAAGGUGGGCAGGAAGGUGUGCGUGAAGGGUGGAAUGAGAUCAGGAAGUAUGUAAGGUGGGCAAGAAGGUGUGCGUGAAGGGUGGAAUGAGAUCAGGAAGUAUGUAAGGUGGGCAGGAAGGUGUGCGCGAAGGGUGGAAUGAGAUCAGGAAGUAUGUAAGGUGGGCAAGAAGGUGUGCGUGAAGGGUGGAAUGAGAUCAGGAAGUAUGUAAGGUGGGCAGGAAGGUGUGCGUGAAGGGUGGAAUGAGAUCAGGAAGUAUGUAAGGUGGCCAGGA